rnacentral:rRNA from 1 species
UACGUAGGUGACCAGCGUUGUCCGGAUUUACUGGGCGUAAAGAGCGCGCAGGCGGUCGUUCAAGUCGAGUGUGAAAGCCCCCCGGCUCAACUGGGGAGGGUCACUCGAUACUGAUCGACUUGAAGGCAGGAGAGGGAAGCGGAAUUCCCGGUGUAGUGGUGAAAUGCGUAGAUAUCGGGAGGAACACCAGUGGCGAAGGCGGGCUUCCUG